CUCAUUGGGAAAUAUUGGAAGACACAAGAAUUGCCUACCCGAGAAGAAUGGCAGAUGAAAGUGAUGGACUAUAUGGAACUGGCUGAGAUGACCGGCAGAAUCCGAGAUCAGGAAGAAGGGUUGAUGGAAGAAGACUGGAGAAAAUUUAAAAUAUAUCUUCAGAAACACUGUAAUAUAAAAGAAUGUUAGAAAAAGGUUGGAAAAGAAUAUUAGGCCGUAUUGGCAGACAUGGUAUAAUGGAAUAAGUAAAAAUGAAGCGUAAAAUGAGGAUAGAGAAUUAAAUACUUUCGAAUGUUAAAAUAAGUAAAAGAAAAGAAGGUUAGAAGGAUUUGCUGGAGAUACGAUUUAAACUAGAAUACAAAGCAGGGAGGUGAGAGGAAGUCAUGGAAAUAAGUAAAAGGGAAAAAGGUUGUAAAGGUCUAAUUUGAUUUUUGUUAUUUUUUAUUGUGAUUCUUUGUUUUUUCUUAUUUCUUUUUUAUUGUCUGUUUUUUGUAACAUGUGUAUGGUUUGUUUUUUCUUUAUUUUUUGUAACUUUAAAACUGGAAUAAAUAUUCUUU